rnacentral:rRNA from 1 species
ACCAGGAAUAUUGGGCAAUGGACGCAAGUCUGACCCAGCGACGCCGCGUGGAGGAAGACGGCCUUAGGGUUGUAAACUCCUUUUGCCAAGCUCUUCACAGCUUGGAGAAUAAGCCUCUACUAACUACGUGCCAGAAGUCUCGGUAAUACGUAGGAGGCAAGCGUUAUCCGGAUUCAUUGGGCGUAAAGUGUGCGUAGGCGGUUUGAUGUGUCUUCUCUUAAAGACCGAAGCUUAACUUCGGAAAUGGGGAAGAAACUAUCAAACUUGAGGAUUAUCAGGGAUACUGGAACAGUUAGUGUAGCAGUGAAAUGCGUUGAUAUUAACUGGAACACCAAGGGCGAAGGCAAGUAUCUGGGAUUUUCCUGACGCUGAGGCACGACAGCUAGGGUAGCGAAACGGAUUAGAUACCCCGGUAGUCC